rnacentral:tRNA from 1 species
CGGGACGUGGCGCAGGGGUAGCGCGCUGGUCUGGGGGACCAGAGGACGGGAGUUCGAGACUCCCCGUCCCGA